rnacentral:misc_RNA from 1 species
UCUCGUGUAAACCAUGAUGUACGAAAAAGUUAGUUGUUAACUUAAAAACAACUCUUGGCAAUGGAUCUCUUGGUUCUCGCAUCGAUGAAGAGCGUAGCAAAGUGCGAUAAUUAUUGCGACUUGCAUUCAUAGCGAAUCAUCGAGUUCUCGAACGCAUCUUGCGCCUAGUAGUCAAUCUACUAGGCACAGUUGUUUCAGUAUCUGCAACUACCAAUCAGUUCAACUUGGUUCUUUGAACCUAAGCGAGCUGGAAAUGGGCUUGUGUUGAUGGCAUUCAGUUGCUGUCAUGGCCUUAAAUACAUUUAGUCCUAGGCAAUUGGCUUUAGUCAUUUGCCGGAUGUAGACUCUAGAGUGCCUGAAGAGCAACGACUUGGUUAGUGAGUUCAUAAUUCCAAGUCAAUCAGUCUCUUCUUGAACUAGGUCUUAAUCUUUACGGACUAGUGAGAGGAUCUAACUUGGGUCUUCUCUUGAACAAACUCACAUCUAGAUCUGAAAUCAACUGAGAUC